rnacentral:lncRNA from 1 species
AUGGAAGUGCUUGAAGAGAGGAGUUGUCCCCUGCAUGAAAGAAAAUGUGUGAAAAUCAUGAGUUGUUCACCAUAACUAAAAGAUUAGAACAAGUACCAAGUAAAUAAGGUAUCGCUAAUUAUUUCAUGCUAACCUGUUCAACAUUCUUGAUCUAUUCUUCCAUGCAACUAAACCAUCCAGCGGUUGGAGAACUUCAAAGCAGUGUUUGGUUUACUUUAACUUGGUGUAAACAUCUCCCAUGAAAAUGCAAAGAGAUAUUGAGUUUUCAUGGUCAUAUGGUGUGCAUCAUGUGAAAGUUCAUAGACGUGAUGUGGAUUUGAGGAGUGAAUGAUGCAUGAACUCAUAACCCAACUCAGAGUUUGCUUCCCUUGCAUGCUUUUCUGAUAUGCCAACAUGAUGAUUCAGUUUGUUGCAUGAGAAAUAACAGGGCC